GACUCCAAUCCUUCCAAAAUCAUACGAAAUUCCUUUGAAUCAAAGGGGACCUAAUAUUCUAUAGGAAUUUUUAGCAUUCACUCAAAUCUCUUGAAAAGAAUCCUAUGUUUAUGCCCAUGCGUUUCUGGAAUCUAGGCCCAAAAAGUGGUUUGGACCUUUUGCUGGCAUGCAAAGCUCUAAUGCUAUAUCAGACUGGAUAUGAGUAAUUGGGCUGAGAGCUUCAACGGUCACUGUGAAAUGGUACUCUGCUGUAUGAAUUAUUGAACCCGGCAACAACGGCUCGCUUCUUGCAAGGGCCUCUUUGAUUUGCAGAAUUCUCGAGACAUAGGAAUAGAAUAUCACAUUCUCUCCUAUCCUACAGGAAUUCAAUUUUGGAUGAAAGAACAUUUGAUAGCACAAAAAAAACAAAGAAAUUAUACCAAGAGGUUUGAGUGGAUGAAAAAUUUCCUCCAAAA
rnacentral:lncRNA from 1 species